rnacentral:rRNA from 1 species
UACGUAGGGUGCAAGCGUUGUCCGGAAUUAUUGGGCGUAAAGAGCUCGUAGGCGGUUUGUCGCGUCUGCUGUGAAAACUCAGGGCUUAACCCUGAGCCUGCAGUGGGGUACGGGCAGACUAGAGUGUGGUAGGGGAGAUCGGAAUUCCUGGUGUAGCGGUGGAAUGCGCAGAUAUCAGGAGGAACACCGGUGGCGAAGGCGGGUCUCUGGGCCGAUACUGACGCUGGAGGAGCGAAAGCGUGGGGAGCGAACAGG